rnacentral:snRNA from 1 species
GGAUGUGAGGGCGAUCUGGCUGCGACAUCUGUCACCCCAUUGAUCGCCAGGGUUGAUUCGGCUGAUCUGGCUGGCUAGGCGGGUGUCCCCCUCCUCCCUCACCGAUCCAUGUACGUCCUUCCCGAAGCUGCGAGCUCGGUCGAAGAGGACGACCUUCCCCCCCGAGGAGAGGACCGGUCUUCGGUCAAGGGUAUACGAGUAGCUGCGCUCCCCUGCUAGAACCUCCAAACAAGCUCUCAAGAAAUAGUGUAGCUGGGGAGGAGAUGACAGAGG